AGCUAAACCAGCUGAUCAGUCGC
rnacentral:piRNA from 1 species